rnacentral:rRNA from 1 species
UACGUAGGGUCCGAGCGUUGUCCGGAAUUAUUGGGCGUAAAGGGUGCGUAGGCGGCGGAGUAAGUUGGGUGUGAAAUCUCGGAGCUUAACUCCGAACUGCAUUCGAUACUGCCGUGCUUGAGGACUGGAGAGGAGACUGGAAUUUACGGUGUAGCGGUGAAAUGCGUAGAUAUCGUAAGGAAGACCAGUGGCGAAGGCGGGUCUCUGGACAGUUCCUGACGCUGAGGCACGAAGGUCAGGGAGCAACGGG